UUGUUGUGUUUUUUUGGUCCAGCAAAGGCAUAAAGACUUGAAAGGGAAAAAGGCUCCUAUUUUAGCACGUACAUAUUGUGCAAUUGCACUGUUAGUGCAAAAGAUGCUGAAAUUUGUGUCUAAAUUUAAAAGAGGACAACUUUGUGCAAAUCUUAAAUGUCAAAUUGUUCUGCAUGGGGGAACUUAAACUCCCAGCUAAGGUCUUAAACAAUUCCCUUAUUUCCCCCCUUAAAAAAAAAGAAAAGAGCAUCGUCUGUCUCCUUCCACCCCUUACCUCGCUGCUGUACCACAAAUUCCACCAUCACUUCUGUCGUCACUGGCUCUCAGGUUUUAUGUGAUUUAGAAGUGAUCGAGAAGAAAUCAAUUGAAAGCAAGUCAAAAAGAGGGCAAAUUUAAGAAAACAAGAAAAAUGGCUAAAUUUGCAAAAACGGCCAGAUUUGCAAUUUCGAAAAUCUGAAACUUUGGGGGCUGUUUUUGUCCUUUUAUUCAGUUGGGAAAUUUGGGAAUUAUAAAAGUGAAGCUUGGGGCAAAAUAUUUUCAUCUUUGGCCAUCUUCCAAGCUUAGAGCAAGAAACUACACUAGGGUUUGAAGAUUUGGAGGCACACAAUGAGAAAUUCUUUACCCAUUUCUUCAUCUCUUGCUAUUUAUUGAAUAUUUAUGUGUGUAGUAUUUCAUUUCAAUACUUGAACCUUGUUUAUGGAAGUGUACAUUGUUUAAGUUUGGAUUGAA